rnacentral:rRNA from 1 species
CAGCAGCCGCGGGAAUAUGAAGGGGGCUAGCGUUGUUCGGAAUUACUGGGCGCAAAGCGCACGUAGGCGGAUAUUUAAGUCAGGGGUGAAAUCCCAGAGCUCAACUCUGGAACUGCCUUUGAUACUGGGUAUCUUGAGUAUGGAAGAGGUGAGUGGAAUUCCGAGUGUAGAGGUGAAAUUCGUAGAUAUUCGGAGGAACACCAGUGGCGAAGGCGGCUCACUGGUCCAUUACUGACGCUGAGGUGCGAAAGCGUGGGGAGCAAACAGGAUUAGAUACCCCUGUAGUCCCUGUCUCUUAUAC